CAGUGACCGUGAUAAUGUAGCGUAAUCAAUAGCCAAUUAAUUGUUGGCCGGUAUGAAUGGCAUCACGAAGGCCCCACUGUCUUAAGAGGACUCUCCAUGAAAUUGAAAUCGUAGUGAAGAUGCUACGUCCAUAUUGUAAGACGAAAAGACCCCAUUGAGCUUUACUAAAGACUUGUAUGGCUCGAAAUAACUUAAAUAAAAAGUUUAGAUAAUGUGGGAUCCGUUUUGGUUAAUGAAACACCACUCUUUUAUUUUAAGAGAGCUAACCUUGUAGGGAGAAUGCAAGUUGGAUAGUUUGGUUGGGGCGACCACCUUUUAAAAGGUAACGAAGGUGAGCUUAAGGUCCGUAGUUAAUAGCUAGUGGCCUGACUGCAAGGGGGACAUCCCGAGCAGACACUGGUAAUCUCUCAGUGGGUUAUAGUGACCCGUCAUCUUAGAGUGGAAUAGUUGACGAUCAACGAAUAAAAC
rnacentral:rRNA from 1 species